AUUGAACGCUGGCGGCAUGCCUUACACAUGCAAGUCGAACGGUAACAGGUCUUCGGAUGCUGACGAGUGGCGAACGGGUGAGUAAUACAUCGGAACGUGCCCGAUCGUGGGGGAUAACGGAGCGAAAGCUUUGCUAAUACCGCAUACGAUCUACGGAUGAAAGCAGGGGACCGCAAGGCCUUGCGCGGACGGAGCGGCCGAUGGCAGAUUAGGUAGUUGGUGGGAUAAAAGCUUACCAAGCCGACGAUCUGUAGCUGGUCUGAGAGGACGACCAGCCACACUGGGACUGAGACACGGCCCAGACUCCUACGGGAGGCAGCAGUGGGGAAUUUUGGACAAUGGGCGAAAGCCUGAUCCAGCCAUGCCGCGUGCAGGAUGAAGGCCUUCGGGUUGUAAACUGCUUUUGUACGGAACGAAAAGACUCCUUCUAAUAAAGGGGGUCCAUGACGGUACCGUAAGAAUAAGCACCGGCUAACUACGUGCCAGCAGCCGCCGUAACAC
rnacentral:rRNA from 1 species